ACGCUCGACACCUACGGGCGGCAGCAGUGGGGAAUAUUGCACAAUGGGGGAAACCCGUGAUGCAGCGACGCCGCGUGAGUGAAGAAGUAAUUCGUUAUGUAAAGCUCUAUCAGCAGGGAAGAAAGUGACGGUACCUGAGUAAGAAGCCCCGGCUAACUACGUGCCAACAGCCGCGGUAAUCUGAGCGGGCUGGCAAGGC
rnacentral:rRNA from 1 species